UGGGGAAUUUUGGACAAUGGGCGAAAGCCUGAUCCAGCAACGCCGCGUGUGUGAAGAAGGCCUUCGGGUUGUAAAGCACUUUUGUCCGGAAAGAAAUCCUUGGCUCUAAUACAGUCGGGGGAUGACGGUACCGGAAGAAUAAGCACCGGCUAACUACGUGCCAGCAGCCGCGGUAAUACGUAGGGUGCAAGCGUUAAUCGGAAUUACUGGGCGUAAAGCGUGCGCAGGCGGUUUGCUAAGACCGAUGUGAAAUCCCCGGGCUCAACCUGGGAACUGCAUUGGUGACUGGCAGGCUAGAGUAUGGCAGAGGGGGGUUAGAAUUCCACGUGUAGCAGUGAAAUGCGUAGAGAUGUGGAGGAAUACCGAUGGCGAAGGCAGCCCCCUGGGCCAAUACUGACGCUCAUGCACGAAAGCGUGGGGAGCAAACAGGAUUAGAUACCCUGGUAGUCCACGCCCUAAACGAUGUCAACUAGUUGUUGGGGAUUCAUUUCCUUAGUAACGUAGCUAACGCGUGAAGUUGACCGCCUGGGGGAGUACGGUCGCAAGAUUAAAACUUAAAUGAAUUGACGGGGUCAUAGCUGUUUCC
rnacentral:rRNA from 1 species